rnacentral:rRNA from 1 species
GAUGAACGCUGGCGGCGUGCCUAAUACAUGCAAGUCGAGCGAACAGAUGAGGAGCUUGCUCCUCUGACGUUAGCGGCGGACGGGUGAGUAACACGUGGAUAACCUACCUAUAAGACUGGGAUAACUUCGGGAAACCGGAGCUAAUACCGGAUAAUAUAUUGAACCGCAUGGUUCAAUAGUGAAAGACGGUUUUGCUGUCACUUAUAGAUGGAUCCGCGCCGCAUUAGCUAGUUGGUAAGGUAACGGCUUACCAAGGCAACGAUGCGUAGCCGACCUGAGAGGGUGAUCGGCCACACUGGAACUGAGACACGGUCCAGACUCCACGGGAGGCAGCAGUAGGGAAUCUUCCGCAAUGGGCGAAAGCCUGACGGAGCAACGCCGCGUGAGUGAUGAAGGUCUUCGGAUCGUAAAACUCUGUUAUUAGGGAAGAACAAAUGCGUAAGUAACUAUGCACGUCUUGACGGUACCUAAUCAGAAAGCCACGGCUAACUACGUG